UAGAUGUAAGUAAAUUGAGGUAGAUAUGGUACCAGGCGCACGGUCGUGAGCCAUUAAAUAUAGGUUCCGGAACCUAUAUUUAGUUAGUCGUAUGGGUGACGCCAACCUGUCAAGUUGUCAAAAUCGUUGGAUCAAAUUUUAGUUUUGUCAACUAUGAACGUGACACGUCUACAUAAAUAAAAGGUCAUUGGGGUUAAAGCAUAAUUUUUUCGCUGGAUCCUUAUGGACAUGUUAAAACUUUCUACCUAGGUACUUCUUAAAAGCAGCAUGAUGAGAUUGAUGAGAGACUUACGAGUAGUAAAAUGUAUCCAAAUCGUUACCUUAAUGUCCACGGCAAAUAUGCCCAUUUUAUGCCAAUUGGUGAUUUAAUAAUGUAUAAGAAAAUAGCCGAUUUACAAAAUUAUGUAUUUAAAUAUGUUAAAUUAACAUCACUUUUAUUUUAAUCUUAUUUAUUUUAUACAAAGCUCACAAAACAUUUUAUUCUACGUGAAAAAAUAUUAUAUUUAAUUAAUAUAUAUUAUUUACUUACAUGUUGAAAGAUUAUUUUAAAAUCCAUUU